CCCCGUGCGCGCCGAUCCCUUCUCCCUUCUCUCCCGUUCGCAAACCGUCACCUCCCUUCCCUUCCGUUUUUCUUUGCGUCGCAACCGCCACCUCUAUCUUCUUCUUCCCGUCCCGUCGCAGCCAGCCGCCGGUCCCUUUCUUCCAUUUUCUUCUUCCGUCCGCAGCCCCGCCGCAAACCGUCGUCUCCCCUACUGAAGCCGAACGGCCGAUCUGCUGUCUCCAUCUCCGUUCGCGAAGCAAGACCGCGCCGCUGCCAGUCCAGAUCUGCGUUGCAGUCGUCCCGCGCGCCGAUCUGCCGUCUCCAUCUCCGUUCGCGAAGCAAAACUGCCGCCGCUCGCCGAACCCAACCACCACCCUCUCUUUUCUCCUUCGGAUCGAAACCGCCGCGCCCAUCCACCUGUAACUGCUGCGCAACCUUCAUUCCAACCGCUGCACUGCCGCGCGAUUCUCCGGCCACGUCUCCUUUAGCCGACCGCUGACCGACCCACACUUAGGAUUUUGCUGCGAGUUCGACAGUCGUGCGUUGAGGUGUUGGGAGUAACCUUGGGCUCCCUUAAAUUCACAACCAAUUUGUGAAUUGUUGAGGGUUCAGUUCGCCAGUAUUUCGGAUUUGAUUCAUUGGAUUUAGUAGAUUGAAGAAUUUGCAUAGAAAUCGAGGCAAAGGUAAUAAAGGCGGCAAACCGGCGAGGGGCAGGAAGGAAGUGGAAGUGUGAUUGCCAUAGGAAAUGUGUUAUUUUGCUUCCGCUUAUUGUUUUUUUUAGGUUUAAGACGUUGUAUUGAAACUUAGCUUACAAACUUUUAUUUGUAAAUAGUACUUUUUUUAAGUUUUUGGAAUAUUUGAAAAUCAGGCCUGACUUAAA